rnacentral:lncRNA from 1 species
GGGGGAUCUUCACCUCUUCAUACAUUUUGUUGUUUUCUCUCUGAACUGAUUCUGGUAAGAACACCUUGGCACCUCCAAUGAAUGCUGAUGUUUUCAUAGCUUCAGCUCGAGAAUCAUAAACAUGUGGAUAAUGAAUUCUUUCCAAGUCCACCUCUCUCUGUCUACCUAGGAUAGGCACACUUCGAGCAUUCAAAAGUGCUAGUUCCCUUUGCAAUCGCAGCUCUUUGGGAUCAAAGCACAGGAGUCCUUCACCAGAAACUUCUCCAUCUUCCCCAGCUUGUUUUUCUCUCCUGGCAUUUCGUUUUUCUUCACGACGAUACUGUUUCAUUAACAGCUUUUCUUGUUCAGACUGAAUUGUAACUUGACAGCCAUAAUUGGGUUUAGCAUUUUCACCUAUAAACUUCUUGCACUGCUCUUGCAGAGUCUGGAACUUGUUAUCAUUUUGACAAGUCAAAGAUCUUUCCACAAUCACAGAUCUGUUCUGUAGGAGCUUCUCUAUAAGUUCAAAACCCUCAGGGCCUAGCAGUUCAAAUAACUCAUUUUGAAGCUCAUCACCACUCUUGGGAGAAGCAAGCAUCUCAUACAAAGUACAGCAGAGAUCUUCUGUUGUUGGUCCUCCAGGUGUACC